rnacentral:lncRNA from 1 species
CACGUGCAAACUUUAUUAAAAUAUCGGUUUAGCUCAUCAUCUAAAAGUAAUACCUGUAUUCUGAUUUUUUUUUCUUGCAGGAAUCAGGAAGAAAGUUAAACGCCUGACAGAAGCUGGCCCUUGGAUAGUGAUGCUGCAUUUGGCAGAUAACAGCAUAGAUGGGACAGGAAGGGAGGGAGAGCAAUUGCUGGAGCUCACUCGAACUUUAACAUGCCUCAUCAAAUACUCAACUCACUUAAGGGAACUGGACCUUGGAAACAAUGUCCUGGGGGAAACGGCUGCAGCGGGCAUCCUGGAAGCACUGAGGGCCAGGAAGUCAGGUAAACUGCCACCCCUAAAAGUUACAGUCACUCCCCGGAUCUCUUCUGACACCUUCAGAUCUAUUUGGAAACUUAGCAAGAAAUCCAAUACGACCCGUAAAAAGAAGAAAAAGGUAAAAAACUGAAUACAGAUGCUGUUUUUCCGAAUGGAUUACACCUAUUUCCACGGGGAGAUACCUUUUGGGUUCUAAAAUUCAUCAAGGUGACUUAGCGUCUAUUCUGUCACACAAAUCAGUCUCUAAACUGUGGGUUUCAUUUUGUCUCUGCUGCCACUAAAUGACCAGGAGGAGGCCAAAGCUUCACUGGUAACACAUGACCCAGGAAGCCAUUGCUGCUGGAGACCCCUUAUCCACACUGGCCUAGCAUGGGGAUGUUACUGUGCCCAUUUUUCUCAGGAACUUCCAACUGUGAUGAAUCUAAGCGUGUCAGAGUGGCAGGGGCUCCUUAUGCUGGCCGCCAGCCUGACUGAAGGCUAACAAGAAGCAGAGAAGGAAAAGGCAUCUGCAAGAUCGACGCGUGGGAAAAUGAAGAAAGUGGUUGGUUGUGAUGGUGUCAUGGGGCUAAGGACUGUUGAAACAGGAUCUAAAACGAUAGACCCUAAAGAGUUAAAAUCAAACCCAGUGUGGUGAUACAGGUCUGCAAUCGCAGCUGUUGGGAGAUGGAGGAAGUUUAAAGCCAACCCCAGCUAUCCAGGAAGUUCACCACCAUCCUGGGGCUACAGGAGACCCUGUCUGAAAAGGAAAAGAAAAGAAAACAAAACAAAACAAUGCAGAACCUCUGUGGUCUUAGCAACAGAAGUAAAAUGGGUGACAAGGAAUGUUCUGGUUUAAAAACACCCAAAACAAGACAAAAGAGAAACCAAGCUGGUCACGCUAGCACACUCCUGUAAUCCCAACACCAGAGAACCGGAAGCAGGACGAUUCCUGCAAGUCCAAAGCCAGCCUGCUCUAUUGUGAGUUGUGGGCCAGCGAGGGCUGAGGGCUGCGUGCUGAGACAAUAUUCUCAACCACAACUCCCCG